UUUUUUAUGACUUUAUGACUGAUGUUGUUGUUGUUGUUGUUGUUGUUGUUGUUGUUGGAAGUAGCAUACAGGGGACGAUGGUUGAAGGGGAAACUAGCAUUUGUUGAGGGAGGUGGUGUCUUUGAGAGUGAUAAAAAGAGAGGCUGUAUUUUCACCAGUUUGUCACAAAUAGAUUGUUUUAAGAUCAUUAGUAAUGGAUGCUCUUGCUCCAAUACAUAUCACUCGUUCUUAGUGAAGUCAGAACUAGUGAGAGGUGGAUGAAGCCGUCUGGAGCUUUGGGGCUUCAAAUGCAGCAGCACAGUGACAUCUGGUGGCAACAGCAGCCCUUCACGACUGGAGCCAAAGCACCACAACACCUCUCUGAUUUUAGUCUCAUAGGUGUGCAAUAAAAGUCCAAGAAGCCUGUGUGUUAUCAUUACAUCUGUAAUACUGUUGUUCAAGUGCUGCAUUAAAUGUAACAGUUUGUGUGAUAUGUUACAGUAAAAUAAUUUAUAAAUACAUUGUCCAAAAAGCCUAGAUAAUAAAUAUUGUUACUGACAUCAAAUAUGAAUGUCCUUGACUAAUGUACUUUAGNNNNNNNNNNNNNNNNNNNNCAGUAAUCCAGCCUUGAAGUAACAAAUGCAUGGAUUAGUUUUUCUGCAUCUGUCUGUGAUAGUAUGUGUCUAAUUUUUCUAAUAUUACGUAAAUGAAAGAAGGCAGUCCUAGAGGUCUGCUUUAUGUGGGAGUUAAAUGACAAAUCCUGAUCAAAGAGAACUCCAAGAUUCCUGACAGUGGUGCUAGAGGCCAAGUUUAUGCCAUCUAGAGUGACUAUAUCUUUAGACAAUGAGUCUCUAAGGUUUUUGGGGCCAAGAACAAGAAUUUCGGUUUUUUCUGAGUUUAACAUCAGAAAAUUGCAGGUCAUCCAGGAUUUUAUGUCCUUAAGACAUCAUCACCAUCCUGAUUACUGCUACAGUGGUUGUUCUUGCUGUCGUCCUCAUUGCUGCGAUUGGAUUUAUCGUUUACAAAAAGAAGAAAGCCAAUCGCCCUCCACGUCCUCCUGAAAACAGCUCUGAGCUCUCUGAGAAACUGAAUCCAGAAACAUCACGAGCAAACACACCACCCUGCACACAGUGACAUCAUGUGGGACAACAAAACAGUGAACCUAACACCUCCAGUUAAAGCAGUUUAAUAUUGUUUUGCCGUUCACUGUAAAACCUCUGAAUCACUUUAAAGCUGCAAAGAAAAUAUCUGACAAAGAGCUGGUUUCCUACGACCAACGGUAGAUAAAGAUAAGUGAGGUUAUAAAGAGAAAAAACAAGC
rnacentral:lncRNA from 15 species